rnacentral:rRNA from 1 species
GACGAACGCUGGCGGCGUGCCUAAUACAUGCCAGUAGGACGCUGAAGCGAGGAGCUUGCUCUUCUUGGAUGAGUUGCGCACGGGUGAGUAACGCGUAGGUAACCUGCCUUGUAGCGGGGGAUAACUAUUGGAAACGAUAGCUAAUACCGCAUAACAAUGGAUGACACAUGUCAUUUAUUUGAAAGGGGCAAUUGCUCCACUACAAGAUGGAUCUGCGUUGUAUUAGCUAGUAGGUGAGGUAACGGCUCACCUAGGCGACGAUACAUAGCCGACCUGAGAGGGUGAUCGGCCACACUGGGACUGAGACACGGCCCAGACUCCUACGGGAGGCAGCAGUAGGGAAUCUUCGGCAAUGGGGGCAAACCUGACCGAGCAACGCCGCGUGAGUGAAGAAGGUUUUCGGAUCGUAAAGCUCUGUUGUAAGUCAAGAACGAGUGUGAGAGUGGAAAGUUCACACUGUGACGGUAGCUUACCAGAAAGGGACGGCUAACUACGUG